GUUGUUUUUAUUGUUCUGUGGCCUCCUCCCUACCUGCUAACAUUUAGGCCUCAGCACAUCCGGUGGCUAGAACUAGCAAUCACACAUUAGUAAGCAAGUUCAUUUCCAUUUCCUGAUGGAUGAAUUUAUCUUGGGAACAUUUGAGAUGGGUACGGUACAUACCUCCCAGAGCCCGACUUGGGAGAAAUCUGUCAAAAAUAUCAAGAGGCUGAGCCUUGUCUUAGAAAGGGGCUUCAGAAAUGCUUGCAUGGGCGGCGGCUUCUUCCCGGGGCAAAGGUCUGGUGGAGCUGCAGGGCCUUGCUCCCAGGAUGGUAAAACAGGGACCCAGAGCUGUUAAGUGGCUCCCACAAAGUCACCCAACCAGGCUGGGCCAAACAGGGAUUGAUGGCCAGGUGUCCUGUCUCUAAGCAUCUCUGGGGUCUUGCUCUGCUGAGCUGAAAGUGAACUUU
rnacentral:lncRNA from 1 species